rnacentral:tRNA from 1 species
AGUUAGGUAGUCUAACGGCCUAGGAUGCGGGCCUUUCGAGCCCGCGACCCGGGUUCAAAUCCCGGCCUGGCUA